AUUGAACGCUGGCGGCAGGCCUAACACAUGCAAGUCGAGCGAGCGUGGGACAGGUGAGUAAUGUAUGGGGACUGCCCGAUAGCGGGGGAUAACUACUGGAAACGGUAGCUAAUACCGCAUACUAUCGGAUAACCCCUAUGGGAUUAGCUGGUAGGUGGGGUAAUGGCUCACCUAGGCGACGAUACCUAGCUGGUCUGAGAGCAGGAUCAGCAAAACGGGGACGGAGAACCGGCCCAGACUCCGAGGGAGGCAGCAGUGGGGAAUAUUGCCCAAGGGGCGAAAUCCUGAGGCAGCCCUGCGGCGUGUAUGAAGAAGGCCUUAGGGUUGGAAGGUACUUUAAGUCGGGAGGCGUUACCGAAAGAAGAAGCACCGGCUAACUCCGUGCCAGCAGCCGCGGUAAUAC
rnacentral:rRNA from 1 species